rnacentral:rRNA from 1 species
UACGGGGGGAGCAAGCGUUGUUCGGAUUUACUGGGCGUAAAGGGCGCGUAGGCGGUCAGCACAAGUCAGUUGUGAAAUCUCCGGGCUUAACCCGGAAAGGUCAACCGAUACUGCGGGGCUAGAGUGCAGAAGGGGCAACUGGAAUUCUCGGUGUAGCGGUGAAAUGCGUAGAUAUCGAGAGGAACACCUGCGGCGAAGGCGGGUUGCUGGGCUGACACUGACGCUGAUGCGCGAAAGCUAGGGGAGCGAACGGG